UUAUGGGGUAGCGCUGGGGGACAGGUGGCCGGGCCAAGGUUCCGGGGGGUCCUCCAUGAGAGUCGUGGAUGGGCCCCGCUGUCGGCUG
rnacentral:sRNA from 1 species